AUGGCGCGCACCGGCGCCGCCGCUGCCCUCUUCGUGCUCGUCUGCUGCCUCCUCGUCGGCUCUGUCCCGGCGCGCCUCCCCGUCGAGCUUCCGACGCAGGUGGUACCCGAAGCCGUUGACCUCCUGGCCACCGCCGAGCCGCUUCUGGCCAAGCAGUUGGCGGCUGCCGAGGCGGCCAACCCGACCAAAGUCCACUCCAUGAUAACAGAGGAGGAGGAGAUGGUGGUUCACCCGGCCCGCCAGCGCCCCCAGAUCAUCCGGUGCGGCGGCGGAGACGACGUGGCGGUCUCCGACGAGUCGCCCUCCUUCGGCGGCCAGGGCCAUCCAGCGUUGAAGAGCGAGGGGGAGGAGCACGGGCCGGAACAGGAGCGGCCCGGCGAGGACUCGGACACCGACAGCGACUCGGAUUCAGACGACGAGGACAAUGAGAAUGGGAUUGUGGCGUGGUUCUGGAGGCUGGCGCGUCGCUUCUGA
rnacentral:rRNA from 1 species